AUUGAACGCUGGCGGCAGGCCUAACACAUGCAAGUCGAACGGUAACAGGAAACAGCUUGCUGUUUCGCUGACGAGUGGCGGACGGGUGAGUAAUGUCUGGGAAACUGCCUGAUGGAGGGGGAUAACUACUGGAAACGGUAGCUAAUACCGCAUAACGUCGCAAGACCAAAGAGGGGGACCUUCGGGCCUCUUGCCAUCGGAUGUGCCCAGAUGGGAUUAGCUAGUAGGUGGGGUAACGGCUCACCUAGGCGACGAUCCCUAGCUGGUCUGAGAGGAUGACCAGCCACACUGGAACUGAGACACGGUCCAGACUCCUACGGGAGGCAGCAGUGGGGAAUAUUGCACAAUGGGCGCAAGCCUGAUGCAGCCAUGCCGCGUGUAUGAAGAAGGCCUUCGGGUUGUAAAGUACUUUCAGCGGGGAGGAAGGGAGUAAAGUUAAUACCUUUACUCAUUAACGGUACCCGCAGAAGAAGCACCGGCUAACUCCGUG
rnacentral:rRNA from 1 species